rnacentral:rRNA from 1 species
CACACCGCCCCGUCACACCAUGGGGAGUGGGGUUUCACCAGAAGCAGGGUAGCCUAACCGCAAGGAGGGCGCCUACCACGGUGAGAUUCAUGACUGGGGGUGAAGUCGUAACAAGGUACCC